UAGUAUUUCAAAACGAGUUUUCUGGUAGGAAACAUUUUAAACUGAUAGAUAUGAAUUUAUGAAUAUUUGUGAUGAAUAAAUAUGGUUGUGAAUGGUGUAUGAUUAUCUCGGGAUGUUCAUAUGUGUAGUUGUAUUUGGUAUAGUAAAAUUGUAUCUUGGACUUGCGCGACGCCAUACAAAUAUAGGGGAGACUCUGUCCGUGUGAACAGUGG
rnacentral:lncRNA from 1 species